rnacentral:rRNA from 1 species
UACGAAGGGGGCUAGCGUUGCUCGGAAUCACUGGGCGUAAAGGGUGCGUAGGCGGGUCUUUAAGUCAGGGGUGAAAUCCUGGAGCUCAACUCCAGAACUGCCUUUGAUACUGAAGAUCUUGAGUUCGGGAGAGGUGAGUGGAACUGCGAGUGUAGAGGUGAAAUUUGUAGAUAUUCGCAAGAACACCAGUGGCGAAGGCGGCUCACUGGCCCGAUACUGACGCUGAGGCACGAAAGCGUGGGGAGCAAACAGG